AGCUCCAUGGGGGUCGUCAUUUCCGGUGCAUGGUGCUGCAGGUUGGCUGCAGCACAGGGAGGAACUUACAGACAUAAAUUCUCCUGAGACUGAGUCAACAUGCCUUUGGAAUACAAAGUUCAGUGUUGUCACAACUCCAGAUAUCAUUCAGGGAAAUGACAACUCACACAGAAGGAAGUGCACAUGAGUCACAGCUCACAGCCUCAGAGUACCAGGCAGCUCCAUUUUUCACCUGACAGCUGGGGACCUCAGGCUUUUCCCAUGGUCAUCUCAGAAGAGCCAGAGAAGGAGGAGUUUUAUAUGAUUGGAAAACACGCCAUCGUUGCCAGAUACUGUGGCAGAGACAGAUGGCAUGGCAGAUGCUGCAAAAGAAAAGUGACUUACUACUAGGUGAACCAGAAAAAAAAAAAAAUAAGGACAGAAGAAAAAGUACACAUGCUCCCCUUGACUGUCAGGAACAUCUUCCCAUAUCCCUAAACCGUCUAAUUGUAUUCCAUAGUGCUGCGGGUUGCAAAUGAAGUGUCUUACCAUUCUCCAAUGACAGAACAUUUGGAAUGGUACUUUGAGCAUAUUUAAGUGGAAGCUGUUUAAAAUGUGCCUUUGAGAUACCCAAAGGCAGGCACAUGAUCCUUGACGUUUGUACAGUUAGUGGCUGGAGAUGCCAGUGUCCACUCUAGAGGGUAAUAAAUGAUAGAGAAGAUCUAGUGCUGAUGUGGCUGGGCUCUCUCAUUCAGUAAGUGCAUAGAUCCCUUUGGUUUAAAAUAAAGGCCAUAGAAAAAUCAAAAGUUAAUAUGUGUUGUGAGUCCAUGGAAUUGAGAAGGAAUGGAUGAAACCAAUAAAAAUCAUCUACAGUGCUGAAGAUAGAUAGUUUUAACAUGUAUAGAUUUAAUGUAUGGAAAUUAAACAAUAUGAACUUGGCGAUUACUCUUGUAUCAUUUCUAUUAAACAGAAAUGGGAGCAAAGGAGCCUAAAAUAGCCAAUGUGGAUUGCUGAAGCAGGGAAAGUAUGUGAAUGAUAUUAAUGAUUUUCCUGUCAUAAAAAAAGAGUGACUGGAUAAGUAUUUGGUGAUGGUUUUGUUACU